GCCCGCCUAGCUCAAUCGGAUAGAGCGUCAGACUCUUACGGGUUCGACAUGGCGACCCAGGGCGAUCUGAAGGCUGCGAGUUCGACCCUCGCGGUGGGCU